rnacentral:rRNA from 1 species
GACGAACGCUGGCGGCGUGCUUAACACAUGCAAGUCGAACGGAAAGGCCCUGCUUUUGUGGGGUGCUCGAGUGGCGAACGGGUGAGUAACACGUGAGUAACCUGCCCUUGACUUUGGGAUAACUUCAGGAAACUGGGGCUAAUACCGGAUAGGAGCUCCUGCUGCAUGGUGGGGGUUGGAAAGUUUCGGCGGUUGGGGAUGGACUCGCGGCUUAUCAGCUUGUUGGUGGGGUAGUGGCUUACCAAGGCUUUGACGGGUAGCCGGCCUGAGAGGGUGACCGGCCACAUUGGGACUGGGCUACGGCCCAGACUCCUACGGGAGGCAGCAGUGGGGAAUAUUGCACAAUGGGCGGAAGCCUGAUGCAGCAACGCCGCGUGCGGGAUGACGGCCUUCGGUUUGUAAACCGCUUUCGCCUGUGACGAAGCGUGAGUGACGGUAAUGGGUAAAGAAGCACCGGCUAACUACGUG